rnacentral:lncRNA from 1 species
GUUUCCACGGCUGGCAGCCCGGCUCCCUGCCGCCCGCCCGCUUCUGGGCUUCUUGGCUGGGGCUGCUCCUGACAGAAGGGAUGCGUGUUGUCGGGGGCGGGGGGCGGCGUGUGUGCGUGUGCGUGUGCGAGAGUAUGUGUGUGCGCUUAAAAUACAAAAAAAAGAAGGCUGGCUACACUCAGCUGCGAGAGGCUGGCCGGGCUCCGUCCGUGCCAAUUCCCUCCGAGCUGGCACCGUGGGGACCGGGAGGGGGGAGAGGUGAGGGAAGAUGGACGCUUGCCACGGACGAGCGGCAGGGCUGGGCGCCUCCCCGGUGCCAGCGGGCGCACGGGGCCAAAACUCACAAACAAAAACCGCAGCAGAUCGCUGGCAGCCCGUCCUGGGGAGGCGGCAGCCACUUGGCAGAGGAGCCAUGGAGGACCCGGUAGGGAGUAGGCGGCCGGCGCACAGGGCCUGUCCACCUUCUGUGCAAGCAGUUGGUGGGAUCUCGUCCUCACCCGGGAGCUGAGCAGGGAGCCCAGAAUCGACGCUGCUUUUCAGCCUGUGGAGGGAGUGCAGGUGGAGGCUGAGAGAGCAGACAGAGAACACCGGCCCGUCUGCCCCGCGCUGCUCCAUAGCCACACACAGCCACACACCCUCCUGCUCAG